CGGGCUAUUAGCUCAGUGGUAGAGAGCGCGCCCCUGAUAGAGGCGGUGGUUUACCCUGUGGCGGAUGUCAGCGG
rnacentral:tRNA from 1 species